ACUUUAAGCGAGGAGGAGGCUACCGAGAUUAAUACUCUUGGAUAGGGGACGUUACUCGCAGAAUAAGCACCGGCUAACUCUGUGCCAGCAGCCGCGGUAAUACAGAGGGUGCAAGCGUUAAUCGGAUUUACUGGGCGUAAAGCGCGCGUAGGUGGCCAAUUAAGUCAAAUGUGAAAUCCCCGAGCUUAACUUGGGAAUUGCAUUCGAUACUGGUUGGCUAGAGUAUGGGAGAGGAUGGUAGAAUUCCAGGUGUAGCGGUGAAAUGCGUAGAGAUCUGGAGGAAUACCGAUGGCGAAGGCAGCCAUCUGGCCUAAUACUGACACUGAGGUGCGAAAGCAUGGGGAGCAAACAGGAUUAGAUACCCUGGUAGUCCAUGCCGUAAACGAUGUCUACUAGCCGUUGGGGCCUUUGAGGCUUUAGUGGCGC
rnacentral:rRNA from 1 species